UACGAAGGGUGCAAGCGUUACUCGGAAUUACUGGGCGUAAAGCGUGCGUAGGUGGUUUGUUAAGUCUGAUGUGAAAGCCCUGGGCUCAACCUGGGAAUUGCAUUGGAUACUGGCAGGCUAGAGUGCGGUAGAGGGUAGUGGAAUUCCCGGUGUAGCAGUGAAAUGCGUAGAGAUCGGGAGGAACACCAGUGGCGAAGGCGACUACCUGGACCAGCACUGACACUGAGGCACGAAAGCAUGGGGAGCAAAAGGG
rnacentral:rRNA from 1 species